UACGAAGGGGCUAGCGUUGCUCGGAAUCACUGGGCGUAAAGCGCACGUAGGCGGACUCUUAAGUCGGGGUGAAAUCCUGGAGCUCAACUCCAGAACUGCCUUCGAUACUGUAGAGCUUGAGACCGGAAGAGGUAAGUGGAACUGCGAGUGUAGAGGUGAAAUUCGUAGAUAUUCGCAAGAACACCAGUGGCGAAGGCGGCUUACUGGUCCGGUUCUGACGCUGAGGCGCGAAAGCGUGGGGAGCAACAGGA
rnacentral:rRNA from 1 species